rnacentral:rRNA from 1 species
CCUACGGGAGGCAGCAGUGGGGAAUAUUGCACAAUGGGGGAAACCCUGAUGCAGCGACGCCGCGUGAGUGAAGAAGUAUCUCGGUACGUAAAGCUCUAUCAUCAGGGACGAAAAUGACGAUACCUGACUAAGAAUCCCCGGCUAACUACGUGCCAGCAGCCGCGGUAAUACGUAGGGGGCAAGCGUAAUCCGGAUUUACUGGGGGUAAAGGGAGCGUAGACGGCGCUGCAAGUCCGGAGGGAAAGCCCAUGGCUUAACCCUGGUACUGCUCUGGAAACUGUAGAGCUUGAGUGCGGGAGGGGCAGGCGGAAUGCCUGGUGUAGCGGUGAAAUGCGUAGAUAUUAGGAGGAACACCGGCGGCGAAGGCGGCCUGCUGGACCGUAACUGACGUUGAGGCUCGAAAGCGUGGGGAGCAAACAGGAUUAGAUACCCGUGUAGUC